rnacentral:tRNA from 1 species
UCCAUGGUGGUCCAGCGGGUGGGACUCAGCACUUUCACUGCUGCAGCCCAGGUUCAAUCCCUGGUCCGGGAA